rnacentral:rRNA from 1 species
UACGGAGGGUGCAAACGUUGCUCGGAAUUAUUGGGCGUAAAGCGCACGUAGGCGGCCCACCAAGUCGGACGUGAAAGCCCUCGGCUUAACCGAGGAAGUGCAUUCGAUACUAGUGGGCUUGAGUUCGGGAGAGGAUCGCGGAAUUCCCGGUGUAGAGGUGAAAUUCGUAGAUAUCGGGAGGAACACCAGUGGCGAAGGCGGCGAUCUGGAUCGAAACUGACGCUGAGGUGCGAAAGCGUGGGGAGCAAACAGG